AUGGGGCCAGAGUCUGGGAUGGUCCCAGCAUCUGAUAUCGAUUCUUCCAGAAGAAGCUCCCCGCCCCUUGCCUCUGGACACCGAAUGCCGCUGGAGGUCUGCAAAUUGGAUCAGCCAGCAGAACUGCAGCGGAGCCCGGAAGCAAUGUUCCCGCUCACUUUUCCAGGAACAGCGUCCCGAGAAAGAAAGGGCUCCUGGGAUCUGUUUGCUGCGAAACAGCAAUGGCGAUGCUUUUUCGGCCAGAGGGCGGGCUGCCUUCUCAAACCCCUGUGUGUAUUCAAGCUUGCUUCUGGAAGGCUGAGUGAUGGAGGAUUUACUCAAAAACCGUCCUACCUGCAGCGGCUGCUGGUCGACGUUCCAGGCUCUCGGGACUCAGAGACGAGUAAAGCAGUGCCUCUUGGAGAAGUUUACAGCCUCGUAGAGCGAGACUCACCAACGGCCAAAGCCAGAAGCACAGGUGGUCCAUUGGCUUCCUGCGGCUCUGAGAGCCACACCUCAAAGCUCCUCUCGGGAAGAAGAAAACGGACUUGGAUAAUGUAACUGGACAUCAGUAUUGGAGCCACGAAAUGAUUGUUACGAGAAGCUACUUCCGCGGGGAGGGUGUGAUGGCCGAAGUGUCUAAGCCGCCAGCCGGGAUGCCCACAUCCCAGAAGGAAGUGCCUGGUUUGAGCUCUGCCUGGUCCACUUCCGACCCAGCUUCCUGCUUACUGUGCACCCUGGGAGGCAAUGGUGAUGGCCAAGUACUUAGCUCUGACACCCAUGUGGGAGACCUGGAUGGAAUUCUGGGCUCCUGGGUUUGGCCUGGGCCAGCACUGGUGUUGGAGGCAUUUUGGGGAGUGAACCAGCAGAUGGAAGAUCUCUUCUUCUCUUCUUGCUCUGCCUUUCAGGGAAAAAAAAAAGCUACUUUUCAUUUGGGAAAAGAUUCUAAAUAUAUGACCAGAAAAAUAAAAAUUUCACUGUCCUACUCA
rnacentral:lncRNA from 1 species